rnacentral:rRNA from 1 species
GCCCUUCGGGGGAAAGAUUUAUCGCCGAUAGAUCGGCCCGCGUCUGAUUAGCUAGUUGGUGAGGUAAUGGCUCACCAAGGCGACGAUCCAGUAGCUGGUCUGAGAGGAUGAUCAGCCACAUUGGGACUGAGACACGGCCCAAACUCCUACGGGAGGCAGCAGUGGGGAAUAUUGGACAAUGGGCGCAAGCCUGAUCCAGCCAUGCCGCGUGAGUGAUGAAGGCCUUAGAGUUGUAAAGCUCUUUUGUCCGGGAAG